AUUGAACGCUGGCGGCAUGCCUUACACAUGCAAGUCGAACGGCAGCAUAGGAGCUUGCUCCUGAUGGCGAGUGGCGAACGGGUGAGUAAUAUAUCGGAACGUGCCCUAGAGUGGGGGAUAACUAGUCGAAAGACUAGCUAAUACCGCAUACGAUCUACGGAUGAAAGUGGGGGAUCGCAAGACCUCAUGCUCCUGGAGCGGCCGAUAUCUGAUUAGCUAGUUGGUGGGGUAAAAGCCUACCAAGGCGACGAUCAGUAGCUGGUCUGAGAGGACGACCAGCCAAACUGGGACUGAGACACGGCCCAGACUCCUACGGGAGGCAGCAGUGGGGAAUUUUGGACAAUGGGGGCAACCCUGAUCCAGCAAUGCCGCGUGAGUGAAGAAGGCCUUCGGGUUGUAAAGCUCUUUUGUCAGGGAAGAAACGGUGGUAGCUAAUAUCUACUACUAAUGACGGUACCUGAAGAAUAAGCACCGGCUAACUACGUGCCAGCCGCCGCCGUAAUAC
rnacentral:rRNA from 1 species